UUCCAAAUAACUGUGAUGAUCUUGAAGAGGACGCUGCCAAUGAUAUGUGUACAUCCCAUAAUAUAUGCUCUGCAAAGUCUAUAAAUAUAAAUGGGCUCAGCAAAAAAUCUCGUGGUGCAAAGAGUCUGUAUGAUAUAGAAGAAAAUUCAGCUCAAGAGUCGUCUCAAGCCUUGACACUGUAUAAACAGCCACAAAAUUUAUCCUCUUCAAGCACUAGGUAUGCAUCGUCAAAAAGAAAGAAGCGGAAGGGACAUAAAGAUCAUGAGGAUGAUACAGUUCAAGGAUUCCAGCGUAUGAGAGAUCUUAGGGAAAUUGGAACAAAGAAUGUUCCCAAGCAGAAGUCUGGUGCAGGACCUGUUUCAGAUGUACCUCUUUUUGAAAGUGGACCGAGCUUUGGCUAUGAUUUGUCCAGUGCCAAUGGGAUAAAAAAGGGUAAGCAGUCUCAGUCAUCCAUAAAAAAGAAACGGUCCAGUAUCGGGCAGUCCUAUGAUAGUUUGAGUAAGAAAGAUAGGCAUCGCCCUCUAUCAAUGUUAUCUGAAGAUUCUGAAGUGUCUGGAACUUAUUAUCAUUGGGACCCUUCAGUCCAGUCUUCUAGUCAGUACCCAGGAGGCCAGAUACCCAAUUUGUUUGAAUCAAGUAGGGCAAAAAAUAUUUUUCCGUCUGAUGUAAAUAACUGUUCCUACAGCUCAGGCACUUCAAGUUUGGAGACAUUAUUAGAUACAUCACACAUCAAUCAUAAAGGUUCUGUAAAUGCUGUUACUCUCAAGGAUGCUGACCCAUGCACGACUGGAUUUCUCAAUGAUGACUGCCUUGAUUGUGAUGGAUUUCUUGAUGCCGUUACUUUGGAGGGUGAUGUUCUGCAGGAAGGUAAAAGUCUGCCAUUUUUAUUUUCCUUUUUUUUUUUGUUGCACCAUUUUCUCUUUUUUGGUGAAAAAAUGGUUUGUAUGUUAAGCAAACCUUACCUACUGUCUCCAAUUAUAGAGGUGUCUCCAAUUAUAGAGGUCAGUUACAUGAAUGCACACAGGAAUAGUAUUUGUGGAUGUAACAUGUUAUAACAGUAGAUGAGGUUUGCGUAAGCGUUCAAGUCAUGUGUUCAACUGUGUCCAAUUAGAUAAGUCAGUAGGCCAUGUGGUGUUAGACAAAUCACUUAUUGGCAAAAUUUCUUGUUUUCUUGUUCAGCAGAGUUCUUUUAGGUUUCUUGCAUACAAAUAUGAUUGGUUAUCCAAUUGGACUGCAGUUUCUUAGUCAUUUGUCAUCAUAUUUUGAUGCAAGUUUUACAUAUAAAUGGAUGGGAAUGUCUGAUUUUAUCACUCUGAACUAGCAUAUUGAGCGUUUUUCCUAAUCUUUCUGGUAACUUUUUCCAGGCCAUUUGGAUACUUAUGGAUCUUGUGCAUCCAUAAAGGAUCAAAUUUCAAAACUGGGUAAUCAAAGUACUGGCUGUGGCAUAGGUGGCAUACCUUCAACUCGACAUAAUAGAAAUUCCAAGAAGAAAAGCAUAACGUCUGUCAAUUUGAUACCUAAAGAAAGCCAGAAGAGGGAUAUAAAUUCGCUGCUGCAAUGUGAAGGGAUUAUAAAAUCGGAAGGUACUGUCUUUAGGCCUGCUGAACUUGAGGAUAAUACACAACAUGCGACUCCUGAGCAUGAUGAGUCCUCUGAAACUAUAAGCAACCAUUCAAACUCGGAGAAGGGCACAACAUCAUUCUCCAAUUAUGUUCCGCUUCAAGUACUACCACCGCCUGGACAGCGGCCUGAUCUGAAACCUCCAAGAUGCCCUGUAACGAGUCCAACCAAGAGAGCACGCACAGAUAGAUUAUAUGAUGUUGAGCUGACUGUCCAAAGAAGCUACAAGGGUCAUCAUGUGCCCCUUGUUUCCCUCAUGAGUAAAUGGACAGGUAAACCAAUUGUGGGGUAUCCUGUCACCGUGGAGGUUUUGGAGGAUAGUUGUCCCAUAACAAGUAGAGAUGAGCACCACCCUGUGAAGGGCAGUCUAGACUCCUUACUGAAGAGCAAAGUUGCAGAACCACGGCAAGCAAGAUCUUCACAUGCACCACGAUCAAAAUCUAAAUCCAGUGGACGUAAAAAGGCCUCAGAACAUGAUUUGGACAAGUCUUGGCGGCCCCAUACCAAGAAACCAGCAUCUUCACCGAGGAAAAUGAGGAGGCUAUCAUCUUUCGCCGGCAGCCGGAGAGAGUGUGCAGACCAGAAGCCUGUAGUUGCAAAAACUGGCGGACCAGCAGUUGCGUGCGUCCCACUUCGGCUCGUUUUCAGUAGGAUCAAUGAAGCACUAAGCUUUCCGUUGAGACAGGAAAACCCCACCUGAAGUUGUGGCAGUUUUGCAUUGCAGAGAUAGAAUGGGGGCAGGCAUAUACAUUUGCUAGGUUUUCUUUGUACAUUAGUUACCAUGUUAUCUAAAAGCUUGUUGCCUGGCAUAUUUAUAUCAGUAUAUCAUGAUGUAAUCUGUAACUGCACUAGGCAAUUACAACUUACCCACCGUGAGAUAAGGGUCGAACAUCCAAAGGUGGGAAGAAAUAAGAGGGGCAUCAGUUGCUGUGGCUUCAUCUGACAGUGGAGGAAAAAAUGGCAGCAGCCCUGUUCACAUACAUCUUAUAAAAUUCUCAUGUUUGCUGGCAACUUUUAGUUGUUUUAGGCAAGUAGCAAGUUGCUGUUUAUAAAAUUCCCUCAUAUUUGCCGGCUACAUUUAGUUGUUUUAGGCAAGUAGCAAGUUGCUGUAUGUAAUCAGUCAUUGCAACGAUUUCAGGGCUUAGUGCAACUACUUGCAGCUUUGAGCAUGCCUGUCCAUUUACUCACCAGGCAUCUCUAGUGUUGAUGCUGGUCUCUACGGUGUAGAUGCUUGAAUGUGCUAAUUUUGUGGUAUCACCGGUGCAGAUUUUUUGACACAUCGCAUAAGGUCGAGGCAUAUACUUUGGCAUGAGAGAGCACUCGGAGAAUACCAUGUGGGCAGCCAUUCCAGUGAGACAAGCUGUUCGGACCUCGUAUGCAGCUAGGUCAGAUAAUGUUCGACAUGAUAGGUUCACUCGUGUGAUUGGUUGUGCGAAGCCAGUAAUUUUGCGAUAAUCUAUAUCUACAGAUGCAUUAUGGAUGUGCAUAAUUUUAAUUUCAGAAACCCUUACUUCUGAGUGUGCAGGAUCUGGGUGCUCGGUGCGCACACCCGCACCCACCGUCGAUUCAUGCUUGUGCUCUCCCGGCCAUCGGAUUCGUGCUCCCUUGCUCGUGUCCGUUGUCUUCUUUCCUAGCUCCGGCGGCGGCUAGGGUUUCGGUGGCCCACACCAUCCCCUUCUUCCCCAAUUUUGGCGGAGAGAAGGGACUCGAGGGAAUCAGGCAGGCUAGGUGGUGGGGACGGCAGCAAGGUAAUUUAGGGCCCUAGCGGCCGUGGAGGGGGCCAAGCUAGGUCGGAGCAAGGGCGCCUUGGCGGGAGCUCAAGAAAGACUUCAUCGGAGCUCAUGACAGCGUGUGGGGAGAGAGGGUGGGGGUACGAAGGUCACCAUGAGCGGUGGUCGGCUGAGCGAUAGUAGGUGGGGGAGGUGGGUGCACUCUUGCCGGAUCUGGAGGGGGUUGAGGGCGGCGUCAUUAAGCCGAGGAGUAGGGGGUGCGGCGUGGGGUCAAGCACGGUAGGAACAAGAUAAGAGGAAGGAGGUGUGCGAGGAGAUAGGCGUGUGUUUGCACAUGGAGAAUAGUAAGGCCAUUUUAAUUUUCGUGAAAACUCCAACUAUGUUUUUCUAAAGUGUUACACAAUUGAUCUAGUAGAGGGUCUGCGCUGAAUAUUUUUCCUAGGAUCAGUCGUGUACGUGUUUAAAUUCUGAGCAGCACGGGCUUAACAGUCAUUUAGAUUCUGAGCAUCAGCAUCAGCCACUUCUCUAUUCGGCUUAUCAUUUCUGCAGCUA
rnacentral:lncRNA from 1 species